rnacentral:rRNA from 1 species
AGGGGCAGCAUGAAUGUAGCAAUACAUUUGAUGGCGACCGGCAAACGGGUGCGGAACACGUACACAACCUUCCUAUAAGUGGGGAAUAGCCCAGAGAAAUUUGGAUUAAUACCCCGUAACAUAAUGAUGUGGCAUCACAUUAUUAUUAUAGCUACGGCGCUUAUUGAUGGGUGUGCGGCUGAUUAGAUAGUUGGCGGGGUAACGGCCCACCAAGUCUACGAUCAGUAGCUGAUGUGAGAGCAUGAUCAGCCACACGGGCACUGAGACACGGGCCCGACUCCUACGGGAGGCAGCAGUAAGGAAUAUUGGUCAAUGGACGCAAGUCUGAACCAGCCAUGCCGCGUGAAGGAUUAAGGUCCUCUGGAUUGUAAACUUCUUUUAUCUGGGACGAAAAAAGGCGAUUCUUCGUCACUUGACGGUACCAGAUGAAUAAGCACCGGCUAACUCCGUGCCAGCAGCCGCGGUAAUACGGAGGGUGCAAGCGUUAUCCGGAUUCACUGGGUUUAAAGGGUGCGUAGGCGGGCAGGUAAGUCAGUGGUGAAAUCCUGGAGCUUAACUCCAGAACUGCCAUUGAUACUAUCUGUCUUGAAUAUUGUGGAGGUAAGCGGAAUAUGUCAUGUA